rnacentral:rRNA from 1 species
AUUGAACGCUGGCGGCAGGCCUAACACAUGCAAGUCGAACGAGUGGCGGACGGGUGAGUAAUGUCUGGGAAACUGCCCGAAGGAGGGGGAUAAUUCCUGGAAACGGUAGCUAAUACCGCAUACCAUCGGAUGUUCCCAGAUGGGAUUAGGUAGUAGGUGGGGUAACGGCUAACCUAGGCGACGAUCCCUAGCUGGUCUGAGAGGAUGACCUGCCACACUGGAACUGAGACACGGUCCAGACUCCUACGGGAGGAAGCAGUAGGGAAUAUUGCGCAAUGGGCGCAAGCCUUAUGGAGCCACGCCGCGUGUGUGAUGAAGGCCUUCGGAUUGUAAAAUACUUUCAGCGGGGAAGCGUUACUCGCAGAGAAAGCACCGGCUAACUCCGUGCCAGCAGCCGCGGUAAUAC